rnacentral:rRNA from 1 species
AGUGAACGCUGGCGGUAGGCCUAACACAUGCAAGUCGAACGGCAGCACAGUAAGAGCUUGCUCUUACGGGUGGCGAGUGGCGGACGGGUGAGGCAUACAUCGGAAUCUACUUUUUCGUGGGGGAUAACGUAGGGAAACUUACGCUAAUACCGCAUAUGACCUACGGGUGAAAGCAGGGGAUCUUCGGACCUUGCGCGAUUGAAUGAGCCGAUGUCGGAUUAGCUAGUUGGCGGGGUAAAGGCCCACCAAGGCGACGAUCCGUAGCUGGUCUGAGAGGAUGAUCAGCCACACUGGAACUGAGACACGGUCCAGACUCCUACGGGAGGCAGCAGUGGGGAAUAUUGGACAAUGGGCGCAAGCCUGACCCAGCCAUGCCGCGUGAGUGAAGAAGGCCUUCGGGUUGUAAAGCCCUUUUAUUGGGGAAGAAAAGCAGCAGGUUAAUACCCCGCUGUUCUGACGGUACCCAAAGAAUAAGCACCGGCUAACUUCGUG